AAUAAUGUGAUGAAAGAGAAGAGUAGGUUAUACUGUCUUUAAGGGAGUGUACUCCAUAGAUUGAAAGGGUGCAUAGGAAAAAGGUAGCUGAAAGACACUCAUGAGCAUGGCUUAUAAAAAAGCCGCGUUUUCCGCGUUAAGGAUUAUAAGUGGGAUUUUAUAUCCAAUCAGGGUGGCACCGCGGAACUUCCGUCCCUUUC
rnacentral:ncRNA from 1 species